rnacentral:lncRNA from 1 species
UGAGGGGCCAUUGACCUCUAUUAUUGGUAACUUCCAGCCUUGCCUAUAAGCUCGGAGCUUUUGUGCCUCACUCUCUCAUGGUCUUAAAUGUAUUACAACCCACUUACUAGAUAUAUAACCUUGGGUAAGUCACUUACCCUCUUUAGCCUCAAUUUCCUUUACUGUAAAAUGGGAAUAAUAAUAACAAAAAUAAUAAUACCACCUACUUCCCAGGACUGUGGUGAAGAUAAAAUGAGAUAUUUGUAAAGCACUUGGCAUAUGGCAGAUUAUUAUUAAUAUUAUUAUUAUAGAAUAUUAGCUUUUGGGCUGCAAUGAAAGUUGUUUUCUUCUACUCCUAAUCCUAAACUUGCACUUGACAAUAGUUUUCUAGUAAGUAGUCUUUUCCAAGCCAAAUAUAGUCAUUCAAGCACCUAUUGUGCCCUGAAUGAUUGUUAAGUUUCAUUAUAUAUUCGGGUUUUUUUUUUCAUUUUCAGUUUGUCAUUGAAGAGUCGUCGUAUCCUUUAAUGGAGGAUAACAUUGGUGAGGUGAAGUAUACUUGUACUGACAUGCUCUUCAUAAUGUUGUGUCUGUCCGAAUGACACAGUUGAGCCACCACUGUGCACUGCAUACCUCUGGACCUGGAUGAACAGCCAUCAUCACUCUUUAGUCAUAGGGGAAUUGGAGCCAUUAACUCCUCAAUGGUGGCUUUCAAAGCCACCUCUUGGCUGUGAUGAUGGCAAUAUUAGAAUGCAUCCUCAACAAUUAGCACUGUGCCUGGCACAUUAUGAUCAGACUUUGCUCUCAACAUGGAAAUGUCCAGGUUUGGCAGUAACCCUGUAAGUUCAAGUGGCCUGGAGGUCGAGUCUCUUAGUCAGAACUGGCUGGUGUCAAAGGAAGUUUCUGGAUCCAGUAAAAUGACUGCUGCCAAAGAAGAUAACAUGGACUAGGAAAAGAUAGGGCAGAGUCCAUUUCCUCAAUCUGCUUUAUGUUUGGAUGCCCUUGAAAUCUCAACUUUCUGAGAAAGUUGAGUAUACCAGUUCUUAGGAAUUAAAAUGGAUGAAUCCUGUUUUAAGUCUUUUUGAUAAUGUAUGCUUGUUAAUGCUUUGCUUUUAGCAUUUAAAAAAUAUUUUUCCUCAAUGACAUGUAAAAACAAUCUUUUACUUUAAAAAUAUUUUGAGCCAAAUUUUUCCUCCUCUCCCUCCAUCCUCCCUCUCUAAGAGAGCAAGUAAUCUAAUAUAUAUUUUACAUGUGAAAUCAUGUAAAACAUUUUUCCUUUUUAGUCAUUUUGUGGAAUAGAAUUCAAACAAAAAUAAACAAG